rnacentral:rRNA from 1 species
CAAUAGCGUAUAUUAAAGUUGUUGCAGUUAAAAAGCUCGUAGUUGGAUUUCUGGUGGGAGCGAUCGGUCUGGCGCUUAGCGCGAGUACUUGCAUCGUCUCCGGCCAUCCUUGGGGAGAGUCUGUCUGGCAUUAAGUUGUCGGGCAGAGGAUCCUCAUCGUUUACUGUGAAAAAAUUAGAGUGUUCAAAGCAGGCUUAUGCCGUUGAAUAUAUUAGCACGGAAUAAUAAGAUAGGACUUUGGUACUAUUUUGUUGGUUUGCGCACCAAAGUAAUGAUUAAUAGGGACAGUUGGGGGUAUUCGUAUUCCGUUGUCAGAGGUGAAAUUCUUGGAUUUACGGAAGACGAACUACUGCGAAAGCAUUUACCAAGGAUGUUUUCAUUA